rnacentral:rRNA from 1 species
CAAUAGCGUAUAUUAAAGUUGUUGCAGUUAAAAAGCUCGUAGUUGGAUUUGUGGCGUACGGUGUGUUCCGGGCACUUGUUGUCUGAGUAACCUGCUGUUGCCAUCCUUGGGUGGAACCUGUGUGGCAUUAGGUUGUCGUGCAGGGGAUGCCCAGCAUUUACUGUGAAAAAAUUAGAGUGUUCAAAGCAGGCUUAUGCCGUUGAAUAUAUUAGCAUGGAAUAAUGAGAUAGGACUUUUUUGCUAUUUUGUUGGUUUGCGCAAGAAGGUAAUGAUUAAUAGGGACAGUUGGGGGUAUUCGUAUUCCAUUGUCAGAGGUGAAAUUCUUGGAUUUUUGGAAGACGAACUACUGCGAAAGCAUUUACCAAGGAUGUUUUCAUUAA